CAGUGAUGUUUCCCUUCAUCUGGCAUUUUUAGAAGAAGAAUCUAUGGCUCUACUCACACUGUAACAGUAAGAGAAGAGCUUUAGAAAUGAGCCCAUUUUGGUCAUUCAUUUAUGCUGCCUCUCUUUUUCUAUGUGUGUGUGUGCAGGUGCCUGUGGAGGCCAGGUGCAGGUGUUGCAUCCCUCAGAGCAGGUGCCUGUGGAGGCCAGGUGCAGGUGUUGCAUCCCUCAGAGCAGGUGCCUGUGGAGGCCAGGUGCAGGUGUUGCAUCCCUCAGAGCAGGUGCCUGUGGAGGCCAGGUGCAGGUGUUGCAUCCCUCAGAGCAGGUGCCUGUGGAGGCCAGGUGCAGGUGUUGCAUCCCUCAGAGCAGGUGCCUGUGGAGGCCAGGUGCAGGUGUUGCAUCCCUCAGAGCAGGUGCCUGUGGAGGCCAGGUGCAGGUGUUGCAUCCCUCAGAGCAGGUGCCUGUGGAGGCCAGGUGCAGGUGUUGCAUCCCUCAGAGCAGGUGCCUGUGGAGGCCAGGUGCAGGUGUUGCAUCCCUCAGAGCAGGUGCCUGUGGAGGCCAGGUGCAGGUGUUGUAUCCCUUAGAGCUAG